AUCUGGCUGACGAGUCUCAAAUAGGACGAAAUGCGCGUUCUGGAC
rnacentral:hammerhead_ribozyme from 1 species